CAGACACAUUUGUAAUCCCAGGAGAUGGUGAGCCAGAUUGGACACAUUUGUAAUCCCAGGAGAUGGUGAGCCAGAGUGGACACAUUUGUAAUCCUAGGAGAUGAUGAGCCAUAGUGGACACAUUUGUAAUCCUAGGAGAUGAUGAGCCAUAGUGGACAAAUUUGUAAUCCCAGGAGAUGGUAGACCAGAAUGGACACAUUUGUAAUCCCAGGGGAUGGUGAACCAGAGUGGACACAUUUGUAUUCCCAGGAGAUGGUGAGCCAAGGUGGACAAACUACUAAUGCCAAAGGAUGGUGAGCCAGAGUGGAUAUAUUUGUAAUCCCAGGAGAAGGUGAGCCAGAGUGGACAAACUUGUAAUACAAGGAGAUGGAGAGCAAGAAAGGACACAUUUUUAAUCCCAGGAAAUGGUGAGGGAGAGUGGACACAUUUGUAAUCCUAGGAGAUGGUGAGCCAUAUUGGACAAAUUUGUAAUCCAGUGAGAGGGUGAGACAGAGUGGAUACACUUGUAAUCCCAGGAGAUGGUGAGCCAGAGUGGACAAAUUUGUAUUCCCAGAGAUGGUAAGCCAUAGGAGACAAGUUUGAAUUCCCAGGAGAUAGUAAACCAGAGUGGACAAAACUGUAUUCCCAGGAGAUGCUAAUCCAGAGUGGACACAUUAGUAAUCCUAAUCGAUGGAGAGUCAGAGUGGACACAUUUGUAAUCUCAGGAUAUGGUAAUCCAGAGUAGACAUAUUUGUAAUCCCAGGAGACGGUGAGCCAGAGUAGACAUUUUUAUAAUUUCCAGGAGAUGGUGAGCCAGAAUGGACACAUUUGUAAUACAAGGAGAUGUAGAACACGAGUGGACACAUUUGUAAUCCCAGGAAAGGUGAGCGAGAUUGGACACAUUUGUAAUCCCAGGAGAUGGCAAGCCAGAGUGGACACAUUUGUAUUCCCAGGAGAUGGUGAAGCAGAGUGGACACAUUUGUAGCCCAAGGAAAUGGAGAGCGAGCAGGGAAACAUUUGUAAUCCCAGGAGAUGGCAAGCCAGAGUGGACACAUUUGUAUUCCCAGGAGAUGGUGAAGCAGAGUGGACACAUUUGUAGCCCAAGGAAAUGGAGAGCGAGCAGGGAAACAUUUGUAAUGCCAGGAAAUGGUGAGCUAGAGUGGACACAUUUGUAAUCCUAUAAGAUGGUGAGCCAUAGUGGACAAAUUUGUAAUCCCAGGAGAUGGUAAACCAGAGUAGACACACUGGUAAUCCCAGGAGAUGGUGAGCCAAGGUGGACAAACUAAUAAUGCCAAAGGAUGGUGAAUCAGAGUGGACACAUUUGUAAUCCCAAAGGAUGUUGAGCCAGAGUGGAUAUAUUUGUAAUCCCAGGAGAAUGUGAGCCAGAGUGGACACACAUAUAAUACAAGGAGAUGGAGAGCGAGAGUGGACACAUUUUUAAUCCCAGGAAAUAGUGAACAGGACUGGACAUACUUGUAAUCCUAGAAGAUGGUGAGCCAUAGUGGACAAAUUUGUAAUCCAGUGAGAGGGUGAGCCAGAGUGGACACAUUUGUAAUCCCAGAAGAUGGUGAGCAAUAGUGGACAAAUUUGUAAUCCCAGGAGAUGGUGCACCAGAGUGGACACAUUUGUAAUGACAGGGUAUGGUGCACCAGAGUGGACACAUUUGUAAUCCCAGAAGAGGGUGAGCCAAGGUGGACAUACUAAUAAUGCCAAAGGAUGGUGAAUCAGAGUGGACACAUUUGUAAUCCCAAAGGAUGGUUGAGCCAGAGUGGAUAUAUUUGUAAUCUCAGGAGAAUGUGAGCCAGAGUGGGCACAUUUGUAAUACAAGGAGAUGGAGAGCGAGAGUGGACACAUUUUUAAUCCCAGGAAAUGGUGAGUGAGAGUGGACAUAUUUGUAAUCCUAGAAGAUGGUGAGCCAUAGUGGACAAAUUUGUAAUCCAGUGAGAGGGUGAACCAGAGUGGAUAUAUUUGUAAUCCAUGGAGAUAAUGAGCCAUAGUGGACAAAUUUGUAAUCCCAGGAGAUGGUAAGCCAGAGUAGACACAUUUGUAAUCACAGGGGAUGGUGAACCAGAGUGGACACAUUUGUAAUCCCAGGAGAAUGUGAGCCAGAGUGGACACAUUUGUAAUACAAGGAGAUGGAGAGCAAGAGUGGACACAUUUUUAAUCCAAGGAAAUGGUGAGCCAGAAUGGACACAUUUGUAACCCCAAAGGAUGGUGAUCCCGAGUAGACAUAUUUGUUAUCCCAGGAGAAGAUGAGCCAGAGUAGACAUUUUUGUAAUUCCAGGAGAUGGUGAGCCAGAGUGGACACAUUUGUAAUACAAGGAGAUGUAGAACACGAGGGGAAACAUUUGUAAUCCCAGGAAAUUGUGAGCCAGAUUGCACCCUUUGUAAUCCUAGGAGAUGGUGAGCCAGAGUGGACACAUUUGUAAUCCCAAGAGAUGGUGAGCCAGAGUGGACAAAUUUGUAAUUUCAGGAGUUGGUGAGCUAGAGUGGACACAUUUGGAAUCCCAGGAGAUGGUGAACCAGAGUGGAAAAUUUGAAAUACAAGGAAAUUGAGAGUGAGAGUGGAAACAUUUGAAAUGCCAGGAAAUGGUGAGCCAGAGUGGACACAUUUGUAAUCCCAACAGAUGGUGAGCCAUAGUGGACAAGCUUGUAUUCCCAGGAGAUAGUAAGCCAGAGUGGACAAAUUUGUAAUCCCAGGAGAUGUUAAGACAGAGUGGACACAUUAGAAAUCCUAGUAGAUGGUGAGUUAGAGUGGACACAUUUGUAAUCUCAGGAUAUGGUGAUCCAAGGUAGAAAUAUUAGUAAGCCCAAAGGAUGGUGAGCCAGUAUGGACACUUUUGUAAUCCCAAAGGAUGGUGAUCCAGAGUAGACAUAUUUGUAAUCCCAGGAGACGGUGAGCCAGAGUAGACAUUUUUGUAAUUCAUGGAGACGGUGAGCCAGCGUAGACAUAUUUGUAAUCGCAGGAGAAGGUGUG
rnacentral:lncRNA from 1 species